AGUGAACGCUGGCGGUAGGCCUAACACAUGCAAGUCGAACGGCAGCACAGUAAGAGCUUGCUCUUACGGGUGGCGAGUGGCGGACGGGUGAGGAAUACAUCGGAAUCUACUUUUUCGGGGGGGAUAACGUAGGGAAACUUACGCUAAUACCGCAUACGACCUACGGGUGAAAGCAGGGGAUCUUCGGACCUUGCGCGAUUGAAUGAGCCGAUGUCGGAUUAGCUAGUUGGCGGGGUAAAGGCCCACCAAGGCGACGAUCCGUAGCUGGUCUGAGAGGAUGAUCAGCCACACUGGAACUGAGACACGGUCCAGACUACUACGGGAGGCAGCAGUGGGGAAUAUUGGGCAAUGGGCGCAAGCCUGAUCCAGCCAUACCGCGUGGGUGAAGAAGGCCUUCGGGUUGUAAAGCCCUUUUGUUGGGAAAGAAAAGCAGCAGGUUAAUACCCCGCUGUUCUGACGGUACCCAAAGAAUAAGCACCGGCUAACUUCGUG
rnacentral:rRNA from 1 species